rnacentral:rRNA from 1 species
CCUACGGGAGGCUGCAGUGGGGAAUAUUGGGCAAUGGGCGCAAGCCUGACCCAGCAACGCCGCGUGAAGGAAGACGGCUUUCGGGUUGUAAACUUCUGUUCUCAGGGACGAAUAAAGUGACGGUACCUGAGGAAUAAGCCACGUCUAACUACGUGCCAGCAGCCGCGGUAAUACGUAGGUGGCAAGCGUUAUCCGGAUUUACUGGGUGGAAAGGGCGUGGAGGCGGGACUGCAAGUCAGAUGUGAAAACCACGGGCUCAACCUGUGGACUGCAUUUGAAACUGUAGUUCUUGAGUACUGGAGAGGCAGACGGAAUUCCGAGUGUAGCGGUGAAAUGCGUAGAUAUUAGGAGGAACACCAGUGGCGAAGGCGGUCUGCUGGACAUUAACUGACGCUGAGGCGCGAAAGCGUGGGGAGCAAACAGGAUUAGAUACCCUUGUAGUC